rnacentral:lncRNA from 1 species
AAGAUAACUCUUGGGAAGUUUAGAAAUCGUCUCCCAGACAUGUAACAAGGAGUUGCUGAGCUGGUGGUGCUGAGUCUUCUUUGCCAUGGAUUUCACCUUCAGAUGAAGGAACAAAGGCCAAGAGAGAAUUGCUUCCUGGCUACACAGCAGGUGCACUGACCCGUCUGGGAGGGCCUUCCUCCAACAUACAGAAGUGAUCCUGCCAACAGUGGGAGACAACGAAACUGGAACUUCAAAGUGUGCACAUGAUUUCUCCAGUAACUUUUGUACUCUUCUUCACCUUCCUGGAUAUCCCAGGCUCCUUCUACAGCAGCUAUGUUCCUAAAAGUUUCCCUCAUCACAUCUCUGUAGAGCUUCUUUUGGGAUGGAUUCAGCAAAACUCACUCCACUAUGGUGAAGUUCACAGCCACAUCCUCAAAGGUCACUGCCUCCAUUGUGUGGCUUCAGGUUUUCCCAGGGUCCUUCCUCCCAUGCAGUAUACAGCCAAUAGAAGUCACAGACGUUGGCCUAGUUGAGGGGGGGAGCUCUCAGCAAUGUAGUCUCCUGGAAAUUUUAGAACAGUAAUUCUGCUUGCCACUGUCCCACAAUCUUUGUUGUCCUAUCCUAGCCUCAGUGUUAGGCAGUGCACCUGUGUGCCUGAGCCUCCUUUAGAAGUGAGUCUUUCUUAGUAUUCCCAGCUCUCUUCCUCAUGUAUUAGUGGUUAGUCUUCGGCAGGAUUUUCUGCUCCUUCUCCAAUAGUGGUAGUAAGUAAUAGUAGUAUCAAAUUAGUUCUGCUGAGACUCGGGGAUUUAGCUCAGUGGUUCCACCGCCUGCCUUGCAAGCGCAAGGUCCCGAGUUUGAUCCCCAGUACCAAAAAAUAAUUUCUACUGUCCUCCAAAUGAAGGUAUUUUGCUACCUCCAACCUCCAAGAAAUAAAGGGUCUUUGGCUUUGUCAUGGGAUUGAGUGGGUGUACUAUCCUUCUCUCAGAGGUUGAGGGAUUUGGGGUCUUUGGCUUUUUCAUGGGAUUGAGUGGGUAUACUAUCCUUCUCUCAGAGGUUGAGGGAUUUGGCUUCUGCUUCUCCCAUAAAAGCAGUAUCUGCGUUCUGGGGGAAUAUUUGCUAACCCUCCAUCGAUGACGUAAGGCUUUUGCUUGUGGCAGAAUGGUCCAGGAAACAGGUGGAGUUUUGUGCCCGACCACCCCAGCAGCAGCUGUUGUGUGUAUCUGUGCCUUCUAGGGGGUUUGUUCCGGUGUCCUGUUGUGCCCCUGCUGUCUCUUGUGAACACCUUGGAAACGGCUCCCGUUCCACAGCUUCCCGGAGGCGCCGUUGCUCUGGACCCCUCCGUCCGGGGCUUCGCUGCCGGCGCUGUCCCGAAAGCGCAAAUUCGACACGGGGGCCAUGGCAGUGCCGGCGCUCCGAAAGCGCAAAUUCGACACGGGGGCCAUGGCGGAGUCCUCGGCCUCGCCGAGCAAGCGUCGCGGCGGUGGGGAUGGCAGCGCCCAGGGCGGUGCGGAGCUGGAGGGACGCGCCCUGGACUCCGGGGAGCCGCCUGGCGAGAACCGAAGACUGAGGGAGGAGCCGCGGGACGCCCCUAA